rnacentral:misc_RNA from 1 species
UGAUAAUUGACGAAUAAAACCACAUUCAUUUCAGACAAUGAAAGAAGAAGAGCGACGAAGCGGGGAAUCCAAAAUGUAUUAGAUCAGAUCAAAAACCACACCAUAUAAUUUUUGCCGUUCACGGAACGAAUCUAAACUCAGUAACCGAACCAGAGACCAACUUAACCAAACCAGAGAACAACGAAGCAACUGCAUAACCAUAGACUGAUAAAGGCAACACGGACGGGACCCGCGUGCAACACCGUGGGAGAAACAACCCUUAAUUCCAACCGCCGCCGCCACCUUCACGGCGAGCACCACCGUACCCACCGCCACCACCUCCUCCUUCACGGCGACCACCACCAUACCCACCGCCACCUCCACCACCAUACCCACCACCACCUCCAUAAUUGCCGCCGCGGGAUCCGCCAUAACUCCCACCGCCGCCGCCGCCACGAGAUCCACCGCCGCCGCUGCCGCGGGACUGGGCUUCGUUGACGGUGAUGCUCCUCCCAUCAAGGUUCUGCCCGUGCAUCCCCUCAAUAGCGUCCUUCAUCGCCUGCUCGCUACCGAAGGUAACGAAUCCGAACCCUCUCGAUCUCCCUGUUUCACGAUCGUUGAUGAUCUUGGAUUCAACGACAUCACCGUACGUGCUGAAGGCCUGCUCGAGGGCGCGGUCGUCCGUGGCCCAGGCGAGGCCGCCGACGAAGCAGCGAUACUCGGCAUCAACAGCCGCCAUCGGAGCCGAGAGGAUGGAGGAGGAGAAGCCCUAGAUUGGG